UACGUAGGGUGCGAGCGUUGUCCGGAAUCACUGGGCGUAAAGGGCGCGUAGGCGGCCUGGCAAGUCGAUGGUGAAAGCCCGAGGCUCAACUUCGGGUCGGCCACUGAUACUGCUGGGCUUGAGUCGACUAGAGGCAGAUGGAAUUCCGGGUGUAGCGGUGGAAUGCGUAGAGAUCCAGAAGAACACCGGUGGCGAAGGCGGUCUGCUGGGGUCGAACUGACGCUGAGGCGCGACAGCGUGGGGAGCAAACAGG
rnacentral:rRNA from 1 species